rnacentral:rRNA from 1 species
GACGAACGCUGGCGGCGUGCUUAACACAUGCAAGUCGAACGGGAUUUAGUAAACAGAAACCUCGGUGGAAGAUUACUAAUGAGAGUGGCGAACGGGUGAGUAACGCGUGAGCAACCUGCCUAUGACAGUGGGAUAGCCUCGGGAAACCGGGAUUAAUACCGCAUAAAAUCGUAGAAACACAUGUUUUAACGGUCAAAGAUUUAUCGGUCAUAGAUGGGCUCGCGUCUGAUUAGCUAGUUGGUGAGAUAACAGCCCACCAAGGCGACGAUCAGUAGCCGGCCUGAGAGGAUGAACGGCCACAUUGGAACUGAGACACGGUCCAAACUCCUACGGGAGGCAGCAGUGGGGAAUAUUGCACAAUGGGGGAAACCCUGAUGCAGCGACGCCGCGUGAACGAAGAAGGUAUUCGUAUCGUAAAGUUCUGUCCUAUGGGAAGAUAAUGACAGUACCAUAGAAGAAAGCUCCGGCUAAAUACGUG